rnacentral:misc_RNA from 1 species
AUCCCAGACUGGCUCAAGAAUGGAAAUACUCGUGCGUAUGUGUGUUUACUUAAAUCUGUUUCUAUAUGAAGUUAUUUGAUUAUGUAUUUUAUUAUUUUGUCCUAGGGAAACAUAUUUCUGAUUCUUAAUAUGUAUUUUUUUUUGUUAUGCAUGUAUACUUGCAUAAACUGACAAGCAUAAAUCUGUUUUGUGUCUGUAACUUCCUAAUUUGGUAAAGAUUCACCUCUUUAGGGUCAGUUGCAGAUUCCACUCUGCCAUAUGGAAUAGGGGAAACGAUUUCAUUUUACUCACAACUUCAAUUUGCUUCUUGCUUUAUUUUGGAAAUGUAGAUAUGUGUUAAAUUGUUCACUUUCAUUGCUUUCUUUUUCUUUAAUAGUAAUAUCAAGCAUUGAACCUAACAAUUGGCCCAGUGGUUCAAGUGCCUCAAGCCCUGUGCUUGAGAGCAAUGAAGUCUUGGGAUCAAAUCCCUAAGCCAGAGCCAGCAAUUUCCUUAUGCAUUUGGGGGGUGGGUAUUUUCUUGUUGAUCUAGCAAGGUGGGGUUUAGGGAGUUGAAGGCUACCCCCAUUAUGUGGCCUGCUCAAGUGGCCCUCCUAUAGACAAAAAAAGGGCUUUGGUUUACUUAACUGCCACGCAAAGUUGAGGUUAGGCUUGGACCAGAUCUAUUAUUAGCCCUGACUAAUCACAAUGGACUUAAACUGAUUUAAAAAAAUUUAUCAUAUUGAUGGGUUACUGAAAAUUAAAUGUAGCUGAAAGAAGUUAAAUAUUUCUUCUUCUUCUUCUGGUAAAUUUUUUUGUAGGUAAGUAUCUGAACAUCUGAAAUAGUUGCCAAUUGUAAUUUUCUAACAACUCUAUAUUGUAAAAGUAUUGAAAAGAAUGUUUAUGUGCAGUGAAAUAUU